AUUAAGAUUGAUUUUGUCUUUGUUUAGUUAGCAUUUGAUUAGAUAAUUUUAUAUAUAAGUUUUUGCGAGUUUUAAAUAAUCUAAAGGGUUAGAUAAUAUAAUAUUUGUAGUUUUUAGUUUUAAAUUUAUUUUGGAAACAUAGAUUUAGUUUAUUUAUUUUAGGAUUGUAGAAAAUUGUGCCAGCAUACGCGGUUACACAAUUAAUCCAAGUUAAUUUUUUUGGUUAAUAUUUAUUUUUGUUUUUGAGGAUUAAGUUAAUUAGUUGUUGAGUGAAAUCUUAAUUUUAAUUAUAAUCUUUUGGUUUUAUAUUAUAUGAAAUUUGGAAUUUAAACUAGGAUUAGAUACCCUAUUAUUCUAAAUGUAAAGGUUUGACCAUGGUAUUAAUAGUUAUGAUCUUUAAAUUAAAAAAAUUUGGCGGUAAUUUAGUCCUUUCAGAGGAACCUGUCCUGUAAUCGAUAAUCCACGUUGGAUUUUACUUUACUUUUGAUUUAUAUAUCUCUGUCAUUGAAUGUUUUAUUAGGAUAUUUUCUUUAAACAUUAAUUUGUAAAAUGUCAGGUCAAGGUGUAGUUAUAGUAAAGGUUGAGAUGGGUUACAUUUAAUUUAUUUAUUGAGGAUAUUUUUUUGAAAUUAAAAAUGUUGAAAAGGAUUUGAAAGUAAUUUUUGUUAUUUAGCAAAAAUGAUUUU
rnacentral:rRNA from 1 species